rnacentral:lncRNA from 1 species
UUGUAUUUUAUUUGUUCUAGCAAAGGCUUAUUGGAGAGGGAAGAAAUGAAUAUUUAUUAAGAUUUCAUCUAAAGUUUUCAAGACUCCUUUUUUAUUUUGUUCCAGACUUACUAUCACUGAUUUUAACUGCCCACUCAAGAGCUAUCCAAGGUUAAGCCAUAGUUGUUAUCAUCAAAUGGCCAUUCCCUGGGUAAGGAAACACAAAGAAGCAAAGUGAUUUGUUAAAAGGAUUAGACAUCUAUAAAUAUAGACAAUAUUCAUGCAAAGCCUGGACUGAGACAGAUACCAAUUGAUGAUCAAACACAUUUAGAUGUUGAAACAAAAUCCUGGGUACUGUAAAAAGCCAGAAACCAAAGGAAUGGUGCUGGAAAUUGUCCAGAGAAAAACAACCAGGAUGAUCUAAGGAUUUCACUAAAACAAGUUGUUCCUCACUCCUCAGAUUCCAUAAGGGUUUGGCUGAAACAUCUGGCACGUACUCAACUCCUUGACACCUUGUCAGUUCACUUUUCUAUCCUUUUGAAAUUCAUAAAUUUAUAGUCUCCAAUUCCUUCACAUAAAAUGAAAGAAUAAACAUUGAGGAAAAGGACUGGG